CCUGAACGCUGGCGGCGUGGCUAAGACAUGCAAGUCGUACGGUGUAGCAAUACACAGUGGCGAACGGGUGAGUAAUGUAUCGCUAACGUGCCCCGGACUCAGGGAUAGCUAGCCGAAAGGUUAGGUAAUACCUGAUGAUAUGCUCCUGCUGCAUGGCAGGAGCCUCAAAGGUCCGCCGGUCUGGGAGCGGGCGAUAUCGUAUCAGCUAGUUGGUGAGGUAACGGCUCACCAAGGCGACGACGCGUAGCCGGACUGAGAGGUUGGCCGGCCACAUUGG
rnacentral:rRNA from 1 species